UACGAAGGGGGCUAGCGUUGCUCGGAAUCACUGGGCGUAAAGGGCGCGUAGGCGGCGUUUUUAAGUCGGGGGUGAAAGCCUGUGGCUCAACCACAGAAUGGCCUCGAUACUGGGAGCUCGAGUCCGGGAGAGGUGAGUGGAACUGCGAGUGUAGAGGUGAAAUUCGUAGAUAUUCGACAAGAACACCAGUGGCGAAGGCGGCUCACCUGGCCCGGGUACUGACGCUGAGGUGCGAAAGCGUGGGGAGCAAACAGG
rnacentral:rRNA from 1 species